UAUAUAUACAUAUACAUAAAAAUGUCUUUUUUGGGUCUGUUUUCUAUUUUUAAAUAACUGAUGGGUUGUGUUCUUUCAUACUGGACAUUGCUGUUGGCUACAGUAUUUUGGAUUGAAUGGAUGGAAGUUUAUUAAGGUUGUUAUUUGUCUGAGGCAAGGGUGGAGUGUAUUGCUGUUAUCUAACCAUAAUGAACUGAAUCCAUGAAGCUGUCUACUGUUUCUUGGCUCUUUCCUGAUAAAAAAAAGAAAAUAAAAUACAUUUCAUAACCUGGGGGAUAAAAACAAGAUUGGAACAGAGAUCAAGGAAAGGUGCACGUAAAACUGUCUCAGCCAUAUCCAAAGCACAACAAGGAAAGCCAAACUUUCCAUACCACCAGAAGAUUGAUAGAUCAAAUGUUAUUCAGGGUGAGUUUUAAAUCCAACUUCUUUAGUGAUAUAGAACUUGCUUUAUAAAAAAUACAAGACUCCAGUAUGCAAAAGUUCUGUCCGGAGAGUAAGAGCCUCAGAGAAAUCAGAGGAGGAGUGCAGAGGGAAAAAACCCUUCUAUUUAUUGAUGAAUUUAAGCUUUACACUUCUGUCAGGUAUCAAUGUGAGGAGACAGGACAGCAAGUGGUAAAAGGCAUUGUGUCAAAGUGGCAAACUUUGUGGUGGAGGUAAUAUUUAAAUUUCAGGCUUUGUCUACUCUAGAACUGCACCAAGCCAACUACAGCCUGACCAAUGACAAGUAACCACACAUUCUGGUUUUCAUCUUCAUGGAAAACACUUCAUGUGCUACUAUAGCAGGAUAACAAGCCCAAACAGACCUCAAAGCUUUACAAAAAGAUAAGGAACAAUAGGAAGGCUGAUUAAAUCUACAACAAUAAACCAAGAAACAGAAGGAAACAGAGACCUAAACCAAAAGAAACAUAAAACACCCAGAAUAACUUGGGCAGUCACACAGGAACCACAUCAGGAAAACAGAGCCAAUAGAUAGGACCACACAACAAAGAAGUAAAACAAAGUGUGGUCUUAAAUACUCACCUCAGGUAACCAAGGGAAGUGGAUGCAGAAGGCUAGAGACACAGCUGAAACGAAUUAAAUGAGACAAGAAAGUAAAAGUGAAUACAAGGCACAGGAGACAAAUGACUAUCAAAGUAAAACAGGAAGUGAGUAACUGAAAGACUACAGAGAACUUGAUUCAAUCUGUUGAAACAAGAGCUCAUAGAAAACAAACUGUAACCAGGAACCAAGAGCAUAGCAAACGAGAAAAAAUUAAAGAGAGAAAAAUAUGAAACUAAAGAGAAAAUACUAAAAGAUCAACACCUGGAUCUAAGAAAUCAUAAAGACUAAUUAAUAUAAGGAAAUCAAACCCUGAAACCCUGAACACUAGAGAUAAAUGCUAAGGAAAAAUACAAAGAUAAUUAUAAACAUGCUGCACUUUAAAAAAAAAAAAAGAAAAAGGAAAAUCUCUGGACCUCCAAAAUAAAUUUCCUAGUCUUGUAUUUUUUUUAAUCUUCAGAUUUUCCUAUUUAUUUUACAAGAAUGGCUGAGGAAUGCUGACUGUAUUAAAUCUGCUGCAUAGCCAUCUACCCCAGUAAACAUUUAUGAUCUUUAUGCAUCUCUGAACAUCAUAGGAUAUGUUUGAUAUUAAAUUGAAUUAAAGCCAAACCCAUAUCAAUGAGGUCACUAUGCGACAAACAGAAAUGUUUCUUGGAUCUUCAGUCCUGAGCAAACAAAAGCAGAAAGAGUCCGACCUUAAAGUCAGCCAUUUGUCUAUGUCACUUGCUCACCACAUAGAGUAGACACUAUUAUUAGACUUCCAUCUCAUUUUGUCAAGAAACCUGUUACUGUUUCAAAU
ensembl:lncRNA